rnacentral:lncRNA from 10 species
AUGUAAGAGGGGCUGGUGCAUUGUGGAAGUCAACAAGUAAGUUUUGUUAAAUUUGAGUAAGAAGACCUGUUUGUUUCCUCAAGUUGCUUAUAAUCUAGGUGAGGACACAUCUGAGAGAAUAACUAAUAGUUCAGUGAAGGCAUUGUGAAGACCCUGUUUCUCUAGCUGUGCAGCUGCAAGGUCACUAGGCAGAUAAACUCAAGCCAUAAAACAUGUUUUUCCUUGAAAAAUUAGAUGGGUGUUACUGAUUCUUACCUCAGAGAAGAGAAUGUCAUGGAGACAAAAUGACCUGCUUAGAGUUCUGCACCCCCCAGCAUGGAGAGCAGAGCGCAAAGAUUUCUUCCGGACUCCCACAUUCCCCUUGGAAUCCAAGAACUGGUCUACUGUCACAACACUUUAGUACCCUC